rfam:Ictidomys tridecemlineatus contig020510, whole genome shotgun sequence.
AGGGAUAAAGCUCAGUGGUAGAGUGCUUACUUAAUAUACAAGAGACCUGGGUUCAAUUCCUGGUCUCCCAC